CUCUGCAAUUCACUCUUUCGCUAAGGGAGCUGCUCCUGUCACUAGCCAAUCAGGGCCUCGAGGCGGACUGCUAGUCAGAAUAGGAGCCGACACUUCCAGUCCGCCAUAGUGCAGGCUAUGUGUGAGUGUCUGAGAGAGGCUCCCCGCGGUCUCUAUUCCGUGCUGUGACUUGCCGACCGGAGCUGUGAGCAGAGCUGGGCGAGCUCGGAAUCCGCACCAUGGAUGCAGUGACCUAUGAGGAUGUGUAUGUGAAUUUUACUCAGCAAGAGUGGGCUUUGUUGAAUCCUUCCCAGAAGAGUCUCUACAAAGAUGUGAUGCUGCAAACCUGCAGGAAUCUCAUUGCUAUAGGCUACAAAUGGAACAGCCAGAAUAUUGAAGAACAUUGUUAAAGUUCUGGAAAACAUGAAAGGUAUAUCAUCUGUCACGCAGAAUACAAGCCACUUGAGCAUAAGGGGCAUGGAAAGAUGCAGUGUACCUCUCCCUCUCCUACCACAGUUAGAAGAUAUAUAGUAGUCCCUGCUAUGAGUAGACUUUAUGAAUGUGACAUGAAUUUACAGGCACUUGGUGUUCCAACUACAGUGGGAAUGCAUCAACAGACUUACAAUGGAGAAAAGCUUUAUAGCUACCAGGAAUAUGGGAAUUCUUCUGUUUAUCCUGGUUCACUUUGCAAAGGUAGUGUGAAUCACACUAUAAGAAAAUGUUUUGAGUGCACUCAAUGUUGUAAAGCUCUGAGUUCUCUUCAAAGACAUGAAAAAAAUUCAUCUGGGAGAAGGAAUUGAUAAUUGUGAGCCAUGUACUAAAGGCUUUAACCAUCACAAUAUCUUCAAACACACAAAAGAACCAAUAAUGAAGAGGAUCCCUAUGAAUAUAGUCAGUGUGAUAAAGCCUUUGGAUCUGAUUCUUCCUUACACCAAAGAUCUCAUUUGGAAGUAGCUCCCUAUAAAAAUAAUCAGGGUGUAAAAGACUUUCCACAUCACAGUUGUCUUCAAGUACGCAGAAUUCAUACUGAAGAGAAACCUUAUGCAUGUAAUCAGUGUGGUAAAGCCUUUGCAAGUCGCCAUAAUCUUAAAAUACAUGAAAGAAGUCAUAUAGGAGACAGACCAUAUGAGUGUCAUCAGUGUGGUAAAGGCUUUACACAUUUUGGGUGUCUUCAAAACCAUCUGAAAAAUCAUACUGGUGAGAAACCAUAUGAGUGUAAUCAAUGUGGUAAAGCCUUUGCAAGUCACCGUAAUCUUCAAACACAUGAAAGAAUUCAUACUGGAGAGAAACCCUAUGAAUGUAAUCAAUGUGGUAAAGCUUUUGCACAUAUCAUUUAUCUUCAAAGGCAUGAAAAAGUCAUACAGAAAACAAACGUUAUCAAUGUAAUCAGUGUGGUAAAGUUGAGUUUGUAAGUCAAGUAAUCUUCAGAAACAUGAAAGAAGGCGUAAUGGAGAGGUAACUUACGGAUGCAAUUGAUACAGUAUAAGCCUUUGCAUCUUUCAUUCUUCUUCAAGGGAAUGAAAGAAUUCAUACGGGAGAGAAACACCACGAAUCUAGUAAAUGCAGUAAAGUCUUGUACACCAAGCACAUUUUC
rnacentral:lncRNA from 1 species